rnacentral:rRNA from 1 species
UGGGGAAUUUUGGACAAUGGGGGCAACCCUGAUCCAGCAAUGCCGCGUGAGUGAAGAAGGCCUUCGGGUUGUAAAGCUCUUUUGUCAGGGAAGAAACGGGUGGAGCUAAUAUCUCCAUCUAAUGACGGUACCUGAAGAAUAAGCACCGGCUAACUACGUGCCAGCAGCCGCGGUAAUACGUAGGGUGCAAGCGUUAAUCGGAAUUACUGGGCGUAAAGCGUGCGCAGGCGGUUUUGUAAGUCUGUUGUGAAAUCCCCGGGCUUAACCUGGGAAUGGCAAUGGAGACUGCAAGGCUAGAGUUUGGCAGAGGGGGGUAGAAUUCCACGUGUAGCAGUGAAAUGCGUAGAGAUGUGGAGGAACACCGAUGGCGAAGGCAGCCCCCUGGGUCAAGACUGACGCUCAUGCACGAAAGCGUGGGGAGCAAACA